CGACUGUUUCCAACGUAUAACAGACACAGCGGAUCACAGGAUAAGUGGAAUGUAACACCAACUCCAAGGUCGUCAUACAUCUCCCAGACACAUGGAGACCUCCUGCAGUAGGCCACAUAAUGUCCAAGAGCAUCCUGGAUUAAGCCUCCUUUGAAAGCAAUGACUGCCCUUAAAGUAAAUCUCUCUCCUUGGAGCAUCAGAUUGGAGGGAAAUUCACUCAAAGGAAAUUCUAUGGAGUUGCUUCCCAGAGGGACACUGUGAUGGAUUUUGGAUUGGCCU